rfam:Triticum aestivum genome assembly, contig: Triticum_aestivum_CS42_TGACv1_scaffold_556625_7AL
UGUGUACUCCCUUCGUUCCAAAAUACUUGACUUCCAUUUGUCCAAAAAUGGAUGUACCUAUAUACUAAGACAUGUCUAGAUACAUAUAUAUUUUGACAAAUAGAAGGCAUGUAUUGUGCAACGGAGGGAGUAGAAU